GGGGGCGUUACGGAUUCGACGACGGUAACGAAACCUGCGGUGCAUGCCGUGAUGACAGCCAAUCACGUUAAUCCAAAGCUGUUAACUAAUAGUUGCCAACGACGACAACUACGCACUAGCGGCUUAAACCCUGCUAGCGGUCUAUCCCAAGAUGCCAGUAUCGAGGGUGUGACUGUCACUUAGAACUGGACCGCGGUGGCUCAUGUCUCGGGAGACACCGUCAAAUUUUACGAGACUCGCGGUCUACGUCCUGACCGUUGGGCUGUUGACCGUUAAAUUAAUUAACGGAAACUAAGCAUGUAGAGCCAAAGGCAGAGUACUGGCGGACGCGGGUUCAACUCCCGCCGCCUCCACCA
rfam:Gamma proteobacterium HIMB55 ctg2504557020, whole genome shotgun sequence.